CAAGGUUUCCGUAGGUGAACCUGCGGAAGGAUCAUUACUGAAUUGUCAAACGGGUUGUUGCUGGCCCUCAUAGGGGGCAUGUGCACGCUCUGUUUACACAUCCACUCACACCUGUGCACCCUCUGUAGUGUCUAUGGUCUGGGGGACCCUGUCUUCCUUCUGUGGUUCUACGUCUUUACACACACACUGUAAUAAAGUUUUAUGGAAUGUACAUCGCGUCUAACCGCAAUACAAUACAACUUUCAGCAACGGAUCUCUUGGCUCUCGCAUCGAUGAAGAACGCAGCGAAAUGCGAUAAGUAAUGUGAAUUGCAGAAUUCAGUGAAUCAUCGAAUCUUUGAACGCACCUUGCGCCCCUUGGCUAUUCCGAGGGGCAUGCCUGUUUGAAGUAUCAUGAACACCUCAACUCUCAUGGUUUGCCAUGAUGAAGUUGGACUCUGGGGGUUUUGCUGGCCUGUGGUCGGCUCCUCUCAAAUUAAUCAGCCUCCCAAGUGUUUGGUGGCAUCACGGGUGUGAUAAAUAUCUACGCUCGCUGUU
rnacentral:rRNA from 1 species